rnacentral:sRNA from 1 species
GGAGGGCGCAUAUGAACCUAUGGUUCAUAUUUAGGAUGCGCCCGACAACCUGCCACAGAGCAGAGCGAUGUGGCGAUACCC